UACGGAGGCUGCUAGCGUUAUCCGGAUUUAUUGGGUUUAAAGGGUGCGUAGGCUGUGCGUUAAGUCAGGGGUGAAAUGCCGUCGCUCAACGACGGAGCUGCCCUUGAUACUGGCGUGCUGGAGUACGGAUGCCGUUGGAGGAAUGAGUGGUGUAGCGGUGAAAUGCUUAGAUAUCACUCAGAACACCGAUUGCGAAGGCAUCUGACGAAUCCGUCACUGACGCUGAGGCACGAAAGCGUGGGGAUAGAACAGGAUUAGAUACCCUGGUAUUCCACGCCGUAAACGAUGAUGACUAACCGUCGGCGAUAGACAGCCGGUGGCCAAGCGAAAGCGAUAAGUCAUCCACCUGGGGAGUACGUCGGCAACGAUGAAACUCAAAGGAAUUGACGGGG
rnacentral:rRNA from 1 species